UCAUAAAUGUCCACUUAAAAUUGUAAAAAGAUAUUUAUUAAUCAAGCCGAUAGAGGCUUGUACUCUGUUACACAUGUACAAAUUGGAAUCCGUGGUUGAGUGAAGUAGAGGUAACAGAAAACAAAGGAAAUUAGCAAUUAACGCCAAGAUACCACUAAGUGUUGUAGGUGCCCACCAGGCAUUAUUUCCAAGGUAAUCAACUAUGUACGUAGCACUCAUAGAACCUAACUGCGAUGCUAUUAAACAAGUACCAAAUCCUGAAUUCUUUACAUUACUAGGAAAUAAUUCGGCAACCAGUAACAUAAGAUUCAUGAACCACUAAAAUUGCCAUCAUUAGAAGGAAUACAUUUGUGUAAACUAUAACAUUUAUUUUCCGACAACUUAAGAACAUCUGGAUGACAGUAACCGCUGCAUAUGACAUUAAUUCGAUGACGCUUAUGAGUAUCAUGUAAAUGUACCGGUCUGUUUUGAAAUUAUCAAUAUUGAAGACUGGAAUAAAAAGUAUCAAAUUUAUUUAGCUUGAAUUGUUAAAGAUCUUCAGAAAAACAAUUAAAAUUAUUACCAAGGGU